GUUUUAAUAAUUUAAAUUAAAAUACUGGUCUUGUAAGCCAGAAAUGAAAAAAUUCUUAAAACU
rnacentral:tRNA from 1 species